AGCGAACGCUGGCGGCAGGCCUAACACAUGCAAGUCGAACGAACCCUUCGGGGUUAGUGGCGGACGGGUGAGUAACACGUGGGAACGUGCCUUUAGGUUCGGAAUAACUCAGGGAAACUUGUGCUAAUACCGAAUGUGCCCUUCGGGGGAAAGAUUUAUCGCCUUUAGAGCGGCCCGCGUCUGAUUAGCUAGUUGGUGGGGUAAUGGCUCACCAAGGCUACGAUCAGUCGCUGGUCUGAGAGGAUGACCAGCCACAUUGGGACUGAGACCCGGCCCAAACUCCUACGGGAGGCAGCAGUGGGGAAUCUUGCGAAAUGGGCGAAAGCCUGACGCAGCCAUGCCGCGUGGAUGAUGAAGGUCUUAGGAUUGUAAAAUCCUUUCACCGGUGAAGAUAAUGACUGUAGCCGGAGAAGAAGCCCCGGCUAACUUCGUGCCAGCCGCCGCCGUAACAC
rnacentral:rRNA from 1 species